AUGGUUUCCAUGACAACGAGGGAAUCAUCACAUUUGACAACGGCAUUAGCGUGUGUUCGUGCGACAGCACCAGUUUCUUUCCAGUCUGCGGGGACGACGGGAUGACGUACUUCUCCCCUUGUUUCGCUGGUUGUACCAACCAAACUCAAUCGAUGUAUGGAGGUUGUAGCAAGGUGACGAGC